rnacentral:misc_RNA from 1 species
UGUGUCCUCCAAAAAUGUAUUUAAAUCUUUAACCCGAUUCAUUUUGGACUCAAUUUCGCCAUCACUGUUAAUUCAAUUUCAGUGUUUUGGCAUUGACAUUAGCCAAAUCUCUUGAUUUCGUGCGAGACUCGCUUUUAUUUCCCAAUCCCGUUGCAAGGUUUACUAGUUUACAAAACAACUCGUUUCUCCCUCCCCCUGUCUUUCAGCGCCAUCUUUAUUCCUCCCUUACUCGUCCAUUUUUUUUUUCUUUUAUUUCUUACAAUAUAAAUAUGUGAUUUCAGGCUCCAAGGCCACUUCUUUAUGCCAAAAAGUUCACGUGCGUCCAUUAAAAAUUCCCAACGAUAAUUUACAACAUUUUUUUUUUAUGCCCGCCGAAAGUCGCCUCGGUGGAGGAGUGAUUUUUUUUUUCGAUUCGGAACAUUCGCUGGAUGAGUUGAAAAAAAUAUUUCACCUCGAAUUAUACCGGAUUCUGUCAUAAAAUUUCUUAAAAAAAAAAAAAGGAACAAAACAACACGAGAAACUUGGUUAUAACUGGCUGUUUUUCUCGCAACCGUACCUGUGGAAUUUGGCAUUUAUUCUAGACGGUCAUAAUUCUUCUUUUCGUUUUAAUUGACUCAUUUCGCCGUUUGACCAUGUGGCUUUUCAGACCAAUGUUCAUGUCCGGUAUGACUGGCAAUUUAAAAAAAUCAGCCCAGCAACCUGAUCACAGUCAUGGAAAUCUUCAUCUAAACAAUCCAGAGUCGCAGAUGUUAUUGUACCCUUUGGCAAACGUCUGCAGUUAGGAUUGUAUAACUUCAUGAUAUGCUUAGUACUAAAAUGCCUAAAAUCUUGAUCGCUGGCAGUGGAAUUACAGGAAGCUUAGUGGCAGCUUCGCUACUCCAGCAAGCAAAAGAAAAUGUUUCUAAUCAAUUACAACUAUCUAUCUGGGAAAAAGCUAAAGGCACCGGUGGUCGUAUGUCUACCAGUCGAAGUCCUCACAACAGCUCAUGUGUCGCUGAUCUCGGAGCUCAGUACAUAACAUGCAAACCUCAUUAUGCCAAAGAACACAGCAAAGAAUACGAAGAGCUGUUGUCUAAAGGAGUUUUAGAGCCUUUAAAGAUUAACAUAAGUAAUUGUCAUGAGCAUGAAGCAGGAACGAAGCAUUAUGUAGCGCCAAAUGGAAUGAGUGCAAUUGCCAAAUACUUUAUUAGUCAGUCUGGAUGUCAACCAGAAUUUGAACACCACAUUUCUACAAUUACUAAACAGGAUAAUAAAUGGUCUGUGUCCACUCUUCAAGGAAAAGUGGAACUAUUUGAUGCAGUUGUAUUAACAAUCCCUGUUCCUCAAGUUCUGCAAUUAAAGGGCACAGUAGCAGAAAUUCUUGAAAACAAUAAAGAAAUGAAAACAAAACUUUCAGCUGUAGAAUACAGUUCCCGUUACGCAGUUGGGUUGUAUUAUGACCAAGGUGCCGAGCUGAGCUUACCGUUUAAGGCAUCCUACUUGAAGGAUGAUCCCGUAUUUCGUUAUAUCGCAGUCGACAAUCUAAGACGAAAUCGCCCUGAGCUACCACCUUCGGUGGUUUUCCACACGUCGGUCCCGUUUGGUUUGGAACAUGUCGAGCUGAAUAUUGCUGAAGCCGAACCUAUUUUAAAAGAGGCUAUACAACGAUCGUUUCCAGGUUUACCUGAACCGAAAGCAUUUAAAUGCCAAAAGUGGAGAUACUCUCAGGUAACGAAAUCGUACGAAGAUCAGCCAGGUGCAUUGGAGCUCUCCCGAGAGCCGCCUUUACUAGUCGGAGGGGAUGGAUUUACCCAUUCGAACUUAGAUGGUUGUAUCUCGUCAGCCAGAAAGGUAGUCCAACAGCUGGUGUCUAAAACAGCCAUGCUUUAACACCAUAGCCUUUGAUAUAACAUAACUGUAAAUUUCGACCUUACAGAAGUAUUAAAUAAAAAGAUACGGUUUGUCUUGUCUUGUUAAUCGCUCCAAGACGGGUUGGAUCUUGAGAAGGAUAGUGAAUGCCUGAUUGACCCUCGGCGAGAAACCCUGGAAGUUCGGGCUGAUUCGGCGUUGGGUUAGGCGGUGGAGGAGCCAUCAAUGGAUAGGUGGGUGGCGCAAAUUGUGGAUAAGGACUUGGGAACGCACUAGUUGUGGGGGCUAAAUUGAAAAAAUUGUGCUCCAAUUCUUCUGGGUGAGGCAAAGCCCGUGGAAGGCCGGGCACAGGUUCGAAACGAGCCCCAGCUUCUGUGUUUGUUGUUCCAGGUAUAUUCUGUUUACCUUGAGAUUUACCCCAGCGUAUGACAAGACGGCGAUUCUAAUGAUAAAUCACUAUUAAUUACGAAUACCAAAGAGAAAAAAAAAAUUUGUACCUGUAUAAUUAAUUUAUUGAAGGUCCCUUCGGCAGCUAGCUCUGCAGCUGAACGCGUGACAUACGUAACGAAAGCACAUUGCUGCCGCGAAACAAUGGUGAUGGAUCGAAUCUCCCCAUAUUGAUAGAAAUGAUCUCGUAGUUCUUUUUCCAACAUCUUCUCUCCAAUAUUACCCACGUAUAAUGUGGUUAUGGAUUUGUCUUCAGGAGCAUCCAAGCGUGGAAGAGUGGCCGCACGUCGCAUCAGCUUUUCUGCCACAGGAUCAUUGGUGCCAUAAUAACGGUCUUUGAUGUUCUGAUCAGCCAAUGGAUCAUCUGGGUCGGUAGGUUUCUCGUGGCGGUAAGGGCAUUCUUCUCCACGUUUGCACUCACCCUUCACCCAGAAAGAACAAAUGUGAGGUAAAUUCCUUCUGUAAUAAGGUGCUGUGCGGGCAAGUUUCAUCAGGAGAUCUGAAGGAGGAUGACUUUUUCCUGGACCACCAGCAGCACCAGGGACACCAUGAUCAGUUGCAGACAACUGUUAAAAAGAAUAUUACCAAUAGCUCAAGUAACCGACUAAAAUCAAGACUUAGUUUACCUGUUUCUCAGCAUUUUGGAUGAAGUAUUCUUUGUUCACGUCAGAUUUUGCAAUAUUGUCUUUUAUGUUAAGGGCCUGGUCUCUCACUUGAAUAGGAAGACCAUACUCAAGAUCUAA